rnacentral:rRNA from 1 species
ACGCUGGCGGCAGGGCUAACACAUGCAAGUCGAGCGGUAGAGAGAAGCUUGCUUCUCUUGAGAGCGGCGGACGGGUGAGUAAUGCCUAGGAAUCUGCCUGGUAGUGGGGGAUAACGUUCGGAAACGGACGCUAAUACCGCAUACGUCCUACGGGAGAAAGCAGGGGACCUUCGGGCCUUGCGCUAUCAGAUGAGCCUAGGUCGGAUUAGCUAGUUGGUGAGGUAAUGGCUCACCAAGGCGACGAUCCGUAACUGGUCUGAGAGGAUGAUCAGUCACACUGGAACUGAGACACGGUCCAGACUCCUACGGGGGGCAGCAGUGGGGAAUAUUGGACAAUGGGCGAAAGCCUGAUCCAGCCAUGCCGCGUGUGUGAAGAAGGUCUUCGGAUUGUAAAGCACUUUAAGUUGGGAGGAAGGGCAGUUACCUAAUACGUGAUUGUUUUGACGUUACCGACAGAAUAAGCACCGGCUAACUCUGUGCCAGCAGCCGCGGUAAUACAGAGGGUGCAAGCGUUAAUCGGAAUUACUGGGCGUAAAGCGCGCGUAGGUGGUUUGUUAAGUUGGAUGUGAAAUCCCCGGGCUCAACCUGGGAACUGCAUUCAAAACUGACUGACUAGAGUAUGGUAGAGGGUGGUGGAAUUUCCUGUGUAGCGGUGAAAUGCGUAGAUAUAGGAAGGAACACCAGUGGCGAAGGCGACCACCUGGACUGAUACUGACACUGAGGUGCGAAAGCGUGGGGAGCAAACAGG